rnacentral:pre_miRNA from 1 species
UGGACAGAUUAUUGUAUUCGACUGUAUUCACGGCGUGAAACAGGGGAUUACAUUAUCUUUAAAUGGAAAGUGAAUCAAUUAACAUAAUAGACUCCU